GUAUGUAAGAAAAUGUCUGGAGAUGAGAAUGAGAAGGAAAUUAAAACUCAUGGAGCAAAAUCAUAGAUCAUUUGUAAGACAAAUUAUAUGAACAAAUGUUGACGAUGGAAGAUAAAAUACUAGAAGAAACUAGAAAGUCUGUCAUCUUUUUUCGCGGCCGUGAAACUCAUCGACCUACCUGUUUUAACAAGGCCACUGAAGAGACUAGGCAAUUAAACCUAAAACCCAGCAAAGAUUAUCACCUUUUACCUGAUAGCAAAAGGGUCCACCAGACGGAGUUGGAUUGCGCUGAAUUUGACAAAGACACAAUUA